UAAAUCGACAGCUGAGGCCACACAUUUCACACUUAAUGAAUUCUUCCUUAAUUAUUGCAUUACAUAUAUUAAUAUAUUGAUUUGAAGAAACAUAAGACAAGAUGAUGGUGGUAUAUGUAGGUAGGUAGGCAUAUAGGAAGGAAGCGUUUCUGUUCAAACAGGAACGCUGUGCAAGACCACUGUCUCUACAGUAAGACCUGGUCCGAAACCAAACAAGACACCCCACUCCAACCCUUCUCCUGUCGUACCCACACCAUCUUCCGCUGACUUCCUCCUCAUCUCGUCCAAUAUGAAGAGAACACACGCGCUAGACAUGUUACCGUACUCGCUCAACACGUGACGCGUGGCUCUCAUCUUCUCAGCCUUGAGCCCUAGCUUUUUCUCAACCUCGUCAAGGAUCGCUGGACCACCAGGGUGAGCUAUCCAGAAGAGGGAGUUCCAGUCGCUUAUCCCUAAGGGUUUAAACGCUUCGUCUAGACUCUUCUCGAUGUUCUUGGAGAUGAGCCCAGGGACGUCCUUGAGGAGAUGGAAGGUGAGUCCCACUUCCCUCAAGUGUCCAUCUAUGGCACCGUCAGAGUCUGGUAGUAUGGUCUGGGCCGCAGACACCAUCUCGAAGAUGGGCUUCUCUCCAGCAGAGGUAUCCGGGUCCGAACCGACAAUGAGCGCGGCGGCGCCGUCACUGAAGAGAGCCUGUCCAACGAGGGAGUCAAGGUGGGUGUCAGAGGGGCCACGGAACGUGACGGCUGUGAUCUCGGAGCAGACAACGAGAACACGCGCGCCACGGUUGUUCUCAGCGAGAUCCUUGGCGAGACGGAGGACGGUGCCGCCGGCGAAGCAGCCUUGCUGGUACAUCAUGAGACGCUUGACGGAAGGACGAAGACCGAGGAGCUUUGUGAGCUGGUAGUCAGCACCAGGCAUGUCGACUCCUGAGGUAGUGCAGAAGACAACGUGGGUAAUCUUGGACUUGGGCUGGCCCCAUUCUUUGAUGGCCUUCACUGCCGCCUCUUUGCCUAGCUUAGGGACUUCGACCACCACGAUGUCCUGUCGAGCGUCGAGAGAAGGAGACAUGUAGGCGCACAUGUCUGGGUUCUCCUUUAGAAACUCUUCGGUUAGGUGCAUGUGGCGUUUCCUUAUAGUCGACUUGUCGCCUAUUAUAGUAGUCGUUUGUUAAGUAGAUAUGCUAUAUAUAAAAGAAGAAAUAAAAAGUAGGGUUUGUUAAAUACAUACACAUGCGCUUGAACUUCUCUUUAAGGUCAGUCAUGUGUUCGCUGUUGGUGAUGCGGAAGUAGUAGUCAGGAUACUCAGCUUGGAUCACAUGGUUGGCAGGGUUAGCCGUGCCGAUCGCCAAUAUACCUGCUGGGCCAUCUGCUCUCUGCGCCUUUCUGAUCUCAUCCAACGAAGACGGUGUACACAUCACCAUAGUAUUACCAACUUGGUUUUAAGAGUUUGAUGGAUGUGUGACUUUAUAUGUAUUUAUUUAGAAAACAUGCGGGGAGUGAUGGAUUAUAUAAGAAGAUGAUUUUAGGAGAAAAAGAGAAGGGAGUUUGGGUAGGUUGGAUGGACGGGUAGAUGAAACACAACGUGUCUAUGUGUUAGCUCCCUUUCCUGUGGCUCUCCUUGCUUCCCUUUUAUUCCGCUACUUGCCAAAAAAAUUGAAUGGUUGGUUUUAUUGAUUUACGUAUAUUCGCAUUUCGCACCAACAAGUCGUAUUCAUUUCUAUGUUCGUAUUUAUUAUUUAUUCUAUGUAUAAAUCUAGGGGUUAGUUGUAUGAGUUAUUCUUGCCUUUUUAAUUCACCGACAAAUAGAAAAUUGUCAUUUUAUAUCUAGUAUCUUUUAAUUAAGGAAACCAAAUAACUUGGCAAAUUAUAUUAUCUUUUCAAAAUAAAAUUUAAAAAUAAAUAAAAAUAAUAUAUAAAAACGAAUUAAAAAAAAAUAAUGUUGUCAACAAAACACUAAACCCUAAACUCUAAUACUAAACCCUAAACUCAAAUCCUAAACCCUAAAUCCUUGGGUAAACCCUAAAUCCUUGGGUAAACCCUAAAUCCUUGGGUAAACUCCUAAACCCUUGGAAAAACACUAAACAUGUUGUCAACAAAACACUAAACCCUAAACUCUAAUCCUAAACCCUAAACCCUUGAGAAAACCUUAAACCCUUGGGUAAACCCUAAACCCUUAGGUAAACCUUAAACCCUUGGAAAAACACUAAACAUUUGGAUAAAUUCUAAAUUAUAAAUCUUAAACACUAAACUCUAAAUCUUAAAAAUAAAUAUUUUUUUUUAAAUAAUAUUUUUUUAGAACUAUUGUUAUUUUUAUUUAUUUAAUUUUUAAUUUUUUAUUUUAAAAACAUAAUAUAAUUUGGCAAAUUAUUUUGUUUCCUUAAUUAAAAGAUACUAGAUGUAAAAUGAUAACUUUUUAUUGGUUGGUGAACCUAAAAAGGUUCACCUAGGGGUGAACCCAAGAAAAAGUCUAGUUAUAUAGCUUCUUUUACAUCUCACACCCCUCACGUGCAUACUUAACUCCAUCGUUAGCUUCUACUAACCUAAUUUUCUUCUUCAUUUUCCUUCUAAUCCUAUAACUAACUAAUUAAAUAAAAUAACUAGUCUUACAUUGUUUAGCAAAAAAAAAAAACUAGUCUUACAUUUAGGUACGCCUCGUUUUUCGUUUUCCAAACAACGCAAGAUUCAUUUGUUUUGCUUUCUUUUUUUCUGUCAUUAAGUAUAUAUUGCUUGUGACACCUUUGUUUACUACUCACUGUUGUUUUAUCGGCCACAAACAUGAUUAGCAACAUGAUUAGGUAUUCAUGUUUUAGAUAUUUUUGUUGGAAAAGAUAAUAGCAUCGACCCAUAAUUAGGUAUUCAUGGGCCAUAAUAGAUGGUGGGCCCUUGAACUUGACUCUGACACCAUAUGGGGUUACAAUAUUAUGGACGUGGGCCAUUAUAACUUAUAAGCUAGAAGUCACGAGAACCUGAGUGUGUUUCCUCAAUGGUAAGUACGCACUCCAGAGCGCUUGUUAUAAUCAUUCGAACCAAAAGCUCGUGCUUACCGAAAUAUAGCUCUGCCUGCCGGAACCAGGGACGGCCAAAACGAUGGUAUUUGAGCGUGUGUCGGCUUGCGGCAUGUUUUUUGCUUACACGCAUGUGUCUUUAUCUUAUACUUAGUCUUUAAGGUUUAAUCGAUGGUCUUACUCUUGUGUUUUUUUUUUUAGAAAAGGACUUUCUCUUUUUUGUUUAAUAUUUUGAAAGUAUAUGUGAUAUAGAUUUACGUCUUGUAUAUACUAAUACUAUGAUCUUCUUUUUUGUUAGCCUUUUCGGUUUCAUUAGAUAAUUUGGCGAUGAUUUGCCACCAGGAUGUACCUUCUACAUGACAUUUCUUAUCGAUUACUAAAAGAGGAAUUUUUCGAGAUUAUAUAAUCUCUGGAUAUGAAAUGAAGGUAGUCCCACUCCUUUUUAAAAUUGUUUGGUUUCGCUUUUUGUUUGAGAGUUGGUUACCCUUUCAUGAAUUUUUUUAAUAUAUCCUUUAGGGGAUUUUGUAAUUUUCUCUUAUACUCCCUCUGUUCCACUAAAAUUAUUGUUCUGAAACUUUUACUUUGUUUUAUAAAGAUUUUAGUUUUCUGUUUUCAAUACAACUUCGUAGUUUUUUUUACUAGAGGCAUUGCUCCCGCACAAGCGCGAAGUUGUGGAUAGAGUCCUUGUUUUAUCUCAAUAUUUGUUAGGGUUCUUGUAGCUGUGAAUUUUACGUUUUGGGUUGAUCAUUGUUUUUCAAGUUUUUUAUUGUUAUAGGGUUAUAGUUGUGAUGAAGAACUGUGUAUGCACUGUUCUCUACUCAUUAAGGACUAGAUUGUGUUAGUAAUGUGAUUGAUAUAGUUCGUGGUGCUCCUUGUUGUGUCACUGAGACUUAUUGUUUGUUUGUCUUUUUAAUUUGUUACUUAUAUUGUUGAGAUUACAUAAAUUAUAUUAAGGUUAUUGAUAGUAUCUUUGUUUCUAAAUAUUUUUUCUCCAGUUUAGUUGUGUAAGUUGUGUGUAUUAAGUAAUAAUUUUUUUUUAUUCUUAUUAUGUUGGUUAUAUGUUUUUUUUAUUUUUAAACUUGUUACUUUUACCGGACCUUUAAAACAAAUACAUGAAGACUUGUAUAAAUAACUAUAAAAUGAGUGACAAUUAGUAUUUGAGCUUUAAAACGAAUAUAUGUAUUUUUCAUAAGAAGACAGUAUCAUUGGCCUGUUGACAUUGAACAUCUAAUAAGAUAAGAGGUGUGAACAAGUGUAGAUGUUGUUGCCGUCUUUGCAUCUGUUGGGAUUGUCUCUUGUAUCUGCUGGUGUGACUGUGUUUGUAUCUCUUUUAUUUGAUGGGUAAUAUGUAAAUAAAAAUCAUUGUUAGUUGUAUUUAUCAGAGUUUGUAACUUACUCUGCUUUUUUUUUUGUUUAGGUAAUUUCACUGAAUUUGGUUGUCGUCUUCGUCUUCUUCGUAAGCAUCUGCGAAAGUAAGUUUGUAAAUUGUUAAAUAGCUGGCCCUGUAGUUUGUAUUUGUUUAGCUUAAUGUAUGUGUCGUUGAGUUUUAGUUGAGAUGAUUGAUUUGGUAUAUUUGUUUUGAAGUUAUUUGUAAGAUUAGACAAAAAGAGAGGUGAUCAUCAAUGAUUCGUUUUUUUAUUUGAUUAUAAUUUUUGGUGUUUUGAUUGUUUGGGUUAAUGUGAUUUCUUUUAAGCUGUAAAAUAAAGAUUUGUGUAAAAUUAGAUUGAUAAAUAAGAGAAAUAAAUAGACGACCACAAAUCUUGGGUAUGAAAUAUUUUUGAUUAUUGAUGUUAGCACAAUAUAGACAGUAAUAUAAAGAGAAUUAUGUGUUGAUUGUUUUUUACAGAUCAAUGAGGAGACGGAUAACGACUCAAGUUGUGUCUUUGGUGAGGUCAGAGCCCUGGAUAUAACGAAUUUGCCCAACUACAUCUACGAGUUUAAAUAUCAGUUAUGAUAUCGAAACAUAACAUAAACACAGAUGCAAUAUGAUAAUAUACCUGGGAGUUCUAGGUUUGUGUUCGCAAUCACUUGGAGAUUUCAAACAGUCUUAUCUUGACUGGAGAUUGAUCUCAGGAGCACUGUGAUGACUUCAUCAAUAAUGGUUAGUGAGAUGAAACGAAUGAGGAAUGGAUGAUCAGUUAUCUUGUACAUGCUUGAGCACAUAGCAACCUCAAAACGAUAGACUUUCACAAUGGAAUAUGAUUUCAAAGAUGUAGCACGUCCGACGGGAGUAAACCCAUGAAUCACGGAAUCUGCAAAUAAUAUUAUUCAACAAAGAAUCAGAAAAUCAAUUAAAACAAUUAUGUUAAAUAAGUGUGAUAGAUCGAAGAUUAACUUACAUUUUCAUCAAGGAAGAGAACCGUGAUUCCCACAAACUCUCUAUCUUUCUUGAAGUUCAGGAAAUCCCAGAAGCGGAGGAAGCCAGAGGUUAUGCUCUGAUUACUACGACCAAGACGGAGAGACUCGAAGGUUGAGUGACGGACGCCGGUUUGAGGAACUGGAGAGGCAGAGAGAAACAUUUUCUAGAAGAUGGUUAAAGCCAAGAGGAAUCAAUGAGUUUUGUGGAGAUGCAGAUUGGGUUCAUCAAAUAUGGGAAUCAUAUAUAUAGGGUUUACAGAUGGGCUACAAAUCAAGAACAUUUAUGAUCAAGCGAUUUAAGAUGGGGACAUGAAGAGUUCACCAGUGAAAAAAUAGAUUAUGAACAAACACACGGCGCAACUCUGUAACUCAGAAUUGUUUGAGACAAUGAUGAAAAGAACCUAAACUCAUGUUAAACGACAACAGUUUAUAAUAUGAGAAAACUAUAAUUGUUGCAAACUUGAGCUUUUUUCAUAUAACGUGAUGAAUCACAUUUAAAAAUAAAACACAUAAUACACUUGUAGGCCCGACCCUCAGAGGAAACCGAAGAAGCAAGGGCUUCUGGCCUUAGGUUAUUGAUAGUAUCUUUGUUUCUAAAUAUUUUUUCUCCAGUUUAGUUGUGUAAGUUGUGUGUAUUAAGUAAUAAUUUUUUUUUAUUCUUAUUAUGUUGGUUAUAUGUUUUUUUUAUUUUUAAACUUGUUACUUUUACCGGACCUUUAAAACAAAUACAUGAAGACUUGUAUAAAUAACUAUAAAAUGAGUGACAAUUAGUAUUUGAGCUUUAAAACGAAUAUAUGUAUUUUUCAUAAGAAGACAGUAUCAUUGGCCUGUUGACAUUGAACAUCUAAUAAGAUAAGAGGUGUGAACAAGUGUAGAUGUUGUUGCCGUCUUUGCAUCUGUUGGGAUUGUCUCUUGUAUCUGCUGGUGUGACUGUGUUUGUAUCUCUUUUAUUUGAUGGGUAAUAUGUAAAUAAAAAUCAUUGUUAGUUGUAUUUAUCAGAGUUUGUAACUUACUCUGCUUUUUUUUUUGUUUAGGUAAUUUCACUGAAUUUGGUUGUCGUCUUCGUCUUCUUCGUAAGCAUCUGCGAAAGUAAGUUUGUAAAUUGUUAAAUAGCUGGCCCUGUAGUUUGUAUUUGUUUAGCUUAAUGUAUGUGUCGUUGAGUUUUAGUUGAGAUGAUUGAUUUGGUAUAUUUGUUUUGAAGUUAUUUGUAAGAUUAGACAAAAAGAGAGGUGAUCAUCAAUGAUUCGUUUUUUUAUUUGAUUAUAAUUUUUGGUGUUUUGAUUGUUUGGGUUAAUGUGAUUUCUUUUAAGCUGUAAAAUAAAGAUUUGUGUAAAAUUAGAUUGAUAAAUAAGAGAAAUAAAUAGACGACCACAAAUCUUGGGUAUGAAAUAUUUUUGAUUAUUGAUGUUAGCACAAUAUAGACAGUAAUAUAAAGAGAAUUAUGUGUUGAUUGUUUUUUACAGAUCAAUGAGGAGACGGAUAACGACUCAAGUUGUGUCUUUGGUGAGGUCAGAGCCCUGGAUAUAACGAAUUUGCCCAACUACAUCUACGAGUUUAAAUAUCAGUUAUGAUAUCGAAACAUAACAUAAACACAGAUGCAAUAUGAUAAUAUACCUGGGAGUUCUAGGUUUGUGUUCGCAAUCACUUGGAGAUUUCAAACAGUCUUAUCUUGACUGGAGAUUGAUCUCAGGAGCACUGUGAUGACUUCAUCAAUAAUGGUUAGUGAGAUGAAACGAAUGAGGAAUGGAUGAUCAGUUAUCUUGUACAUGCUUGAGCACAUAGCAACCUCAAAACGAUAGACUUUCACAAUGGAAUAUGAUUUCAAAGAUGUAGCACGUCCGACGGGAGUAAACCCAUGAAUCACGGAAUCUGCAAAUAAUAUUAUUCAACAAAGAAUCAGAAAAUCAAUUAAAACAAUUAUGUUAAAUAAGUGUGAUAGAUCGAAGAUUAACUUACAUUUUCAUCAAGGAAGAGAACCGUGAUUCCCACAAACUCUCUAUCUUUCUUGAAGUUCAGGAAAUCCCAGAAGCGGAGGAAGCCAGAGGUUAUGCUCUGAUUACUACGACCAAGACGGAGAGACUCGAAGGUUGAGUGACGGACGCCGGUUUGAGGAACUGGAGAGGCAGAGAGAAACAUUUUCUAGAAGAUGGUUAAAGCCAAGAGGAAUCAAUGAGUUUUGUGGAGAUGCAGAUUGGGUUCAUCAAAUAUGGGAAUCAUAUAUAUAGGGUUUACAGAUGGGCUACAAAUCAAGAACAUUUAUGAUCAAGCGAUUUAAGAUGGGGACAUGAAGAGUUCACCAGUGAAAAAAUAGAUUAUGAACAAACACACGGCGCAACUCUGUAACUCAGAAUUGUUUGAGACAAUGAUGAAAAGAACCUAAACUCAUGUUAAACGACAACAGUUUAUAAUAUGAGAAAACUAUAAUUGUUGCAAACUUGAGCUUUUUUCAUAUAACGUGAUGAAUCACAUUUAAAAAUAAAACACAUAAUACACUUGUAGGCCCGACCCUCAGAGGAAACCGAAGAAGCAAGGGCUUCUGGCCUUAAUAAAUAUAUAUUAGGUUCGACCAUCAAUGUACAAAGUAUCAUUUAGCUUAGUGGUAUAAAUGUUGGUGUUUAUAUCUCAAUAACCCGGGUUCGAGCCAUGAACUUGUCACUUUUUCACACUUUUUAAAAGUGGAACCCACAAAACACUGACGUAGCACACUGAGGAGAGAGUAAAAACUCAACUAUUAUAAUAUAGAUUUGUUUUACCUAUAUAAUUAAGAUAAUUACUAUAUAUAAUAAUUUUUUAAAAAAUAUUAUGUACUAAAGUAAGGUUAGUGUUAGAAUUUUAACUUUAUUAUUAAAGUGUACGAAAAUUCGAAAAUAUACUAUCUGCAUUUCACGAAGAUUAUAGUUUUGGUAAUGCAGGAUUGGAAAAGUGGUAAGAACAAGUCCAUCGCUAAUAUGUACAAAAAUAUUUUCUAUUAAAAAUUAAAAAUAAUGAAAUAACAUGUGAGAAAAUAUGGAGAAGUAUUUUGCACCGAACCUUUUAGAAACUGGAUUUUAUAGGUGCCAUUUGUUUGUUGGCUUUAGUAUUUAAAAAAAAAUUAAAUAUACUUUUUAAUUAAAAUAUUACUUCUUUAUUUUUUAGAAAUUUAGGCAGCUUCUUCCAUUAAAGUUGUCUUCUUGUUCUUCGGAAAACCUAUCUCGACUCUAGUAUUGUAUGGUUCCGCUUUGUAAGAAUUCCAAAUCAUUCUCUUGAAGCUAAUACUUUUUCAUCAUGAAUGAUCUGCUUGCCCCGAAAUGAUCCGGCCAAAUAGGAAAAUCUCAAUUCAUUAGGUCUUUCGAUACAAUCAAAUAGAAAGUUCCGAAUGCGCCAUAUUCUAGGAAUCCAAACUAUGUGAUUGAAUAAAUUCUCCUCUAUAUGUUCCGGAUUGAGGACUCCUUAUCAUUCCCCUUUUUCAAACUCUGAUUUGUUUCAUAGAAAAAACUCUGAUCAUAUAUAAAGGGUUCUUUGGUUCAGACCGAAAAAAUAAUGUUACUCGAUCAUUAUCAAACUUAUUCCAAUUUUGGACUUCUCCCUUCACCUCCCCACUUAUCUCCAUGGUUCUUGAAUUUCAAUUUCUGGCGCUUUCAUGUACCAGUGGGUAGGGUGCCGGUUUUCCUAACUCUGUUUCCAAUCCACUGCAUUCCUCUAUGUUUCUAUGUGAUGGUUUAGUCUAACAAGUAUAGCAAGUGUAGGUAAUAAGUGGACAUGUGCCAUCCUCUUUCUUUCAGACUAAAGACAGCUGAGCAACAAGAUACCUUGAACCGCUCACAUGAUUUACCAUCGUAGUCAACAAGCUCGUUCCUUGGGUAAUCCUAAGAUGAGCUACACAUCAUGAUAAGCAUUCUGGGUUCGAAACCUACCAAACUCAGAUUUAUCGGUUUGUGUGACAAGGUGAUAUGAAUAUAUAAUUUUCAUUGUGAACAACCAAAACUGUUUAGCGCCAGUAAACACACCUCAGAGAACUAGUCAGUUGGGUUUCGGCAUGCGAGAUACCUCGAAAUAUAAAUUCUCUUUUUUUUAUUACUUUUUGUUUAUAAAUGGCCGACAAAGAAAAAAUAUAUAAGGUCAUUAACUCUGGUCUCUUAACUGGGGUUCUUAGCUUCGGCUAAAAGAUAUAAGAGACGUCUUUUAGCCGAAAAAUAUAAAAAAAAAGAAAAAAAAUAUCAAAUCAUGAGUUAAGAACCUCGAAUAAGAAACUGGGAUUAAUUAUGCUCUAGUCUAAAUUUAUAUCUGGAAAUUACCGUAGGCUGUCUUAAGUAUGUGGGCCUACAAAGCCCAAACCAUGUGUAGUCUGUAUUGUACUAGAAUUAACAAGUCAAUCGGUGGGCUUAAGAAAUCAAGGCAGGCUUGUUAGUCAAGGCUCUACUCUGAUAUACAUUCUGCUGCUAUUGCGAACCAAGGUACUUCAGUUAUCAACAAUUUUAUUUUCUUUAAAAUAUAAUUACGCUUGGAAAUACUCUUUCAACUCUUAUGCGUUAUCUAGUUCUUUAUUAUCUCUCUUGAAGAGCAAUGGAUGUGAGUGCAUGUUGAUCAGCCAACAAGUUGUGCACUUUCCAAGCUGAGUGUGGAUGAAUUAUUUUGAGUGCAUUUUUCCUUUUUCAAGUGGUUCCAUUAAUCCAUUGUGAAACAUACAUGAAACGAGCCAGGAACUAGUGAAGCUGAGCGGUCAUUCUCGCCAACUUGCAGGAUCUAAUGGAGCAAUACAACUCAGAAAAGCUUCAAUUGGAGAGCAUAUCAGGGGAAUAUGUACAAGUCUUGAGUGCAUUUAUGAGUUCAUACGAUCCACUAAGGCUUACUUCAUGAGAAAACUGGCCAUCUCAGGAAAUUAUUACAUGAAGCAGAGAAAGAUAUGGCUUUGAGGCUGGAACAUUGGAAUUGGGAGCAAGUAGUAGUGCUAUUGUAAGUGUAAUCACUGGUUAAAUUCAUCUUAAUUAACUCCUUAGUUUCAACACUACACUGCCGCGUCAGGAUAAAUUAACUUGUAUAGACUACUUGGACGAUUAAUUGAUCGGUGGCUGCAAACCUCGUGCCCGUAAACUUCUCACAUACAUCACUUUCAGGUUCAAACCAAAAGCAGACUCCCUUUGUUUUUCUAACUUUUUAGAGAAUUAUUACAUAAUGGUUAAUUAAUGCGCUCAUCAGUCAUCACAUGGUCAUUUGAUUAAACGAGUAAUUAGAUUAAAACAAGACAAAACAUAUUUGUGUUGCCAAUAAUUAGAAAAAGGAUUAAUUAUGUUAAGCGUCCAAGAGAAUGCCUUUCCACGUUGGGUGCACAUGCGUCUCUUCUUUCUUCUCUUUUGUUCUUCUACCAAAACAAACACCAUUUAGGCCCAAAUCCA
rnacentral:lncRNA from 1 species